CUGGCGGCAGGCCUAAUACAUGCAAGUCGAGCGCGCCCUUCGGGGUGAGCGGCGGACGGGUGAGUAACGCGUGGGAAUAUGCCCUUCUCUAAGGAAUAGCCUCUGGAAACGGAGAGUAAUACCUUAUACGCCCUUUGGGGGAAAGAUUUAUCGGAGAAGGAUUAGCCCGCGUUAGAUUAGGUAGUUGGUGGGGUAAUGGCCUACCAAGCCUACGAUCUAUAGCUGGUUUGAGAGGAUGAUCAGCCACACUGGGACUGAGACACGGCCCAGACUCCUACGGGAGGCAGCAGUAGGGAAUCUUAGACAAUGGGGGGAACCCUGAUCUAGCCAUGCCGCGUGUGUGAUGAAGGCCCUAGGGUCGUAAAGCACUUUCGCCAGAGAUGAUAAUGACAGUAUCUGGUAAAGAAACCCCGGCUAACUCCGUGCCAGCAGCCGCGGUAAUACGGAGGGGGUUAGCGUUGUUCGGAAUUACUGGGCGUAAAGCGCACGUAGGCGGAUUAGUAAGUUAGAGGUGAAAUCCCAGGGCUCAACCCUGGAACUGCCUUUAAUACUGCUAGUCUUGAGUUCGAGAGAGGUAAGUGGAAUUCCGAGUGUAGAGGUAAAAUU
rnacentral:rRNA from 1 species